AGGGCACCACCAGGAGUGGAGCCUGCGGCUUAAUUUGACUCAACACGGGAAAUCUCACCAGGCCCGGACACCGGAAGGAUUGACAGAUUGAGAGCUCUUUCUUGAUUCGGUGGGUGGUGGUGCAUGGCCGUUCUUAGUUGGUGGAGCGAUUUGUCUGGUUAAUUCCGAUAACGAACGAGACUCCGGCCUACUAACUAGAUGGAGGGUCCCUUCGUGGGUUCUUCACUGCUUCUUAGAGGGACGGGCGGCGUUUAGCCGCACGAGAUUGAGCAAUAACAGGUCUGUGAUGCCCUUAGAUGUUCUGGGCUGCACGCGCGCUACACUGAAGGGAUCAGCGUGUCCUCCCCGCUCUGAAAAGAGUGGGUAACCCGUUGAAACUCCUUCGUGAUGGGGAUCGGAGAUUGUAAUUAUUCUCCAUGAACGAGGAAUUCCCAGUAGGCGCGAGUCAUCAGCUUGCGUCGAUUACGUCCCUGCCCUUUGUACACACCGCCCGUCGCUACUACCGAUCGAGUGAUUUAG
rnacentral:rRNA from 1 species